rnacentral:lncRNA from 1 species
GAAGGUCGGGAAGGAUAAACAUAAGAAGCGAUUUCGGCUUGCCAAUCUAGUCGCCUGCUGGUGGAUCAUUUGGAAGACCAGAAACGACUCAAUCUUUCGUAAUAUUCCCCCGAACCCUGGGAUUGCGGUUCACAGGCUCAAACUUUUUGUGAUGGAUUGGGACCUUCUUCUUGGGCCAUAAACAUCUAUAAGUAAUUGUGUGUGUGUGUUUUUUUUUUUGGGGGCCUGGUUGCCUUACACUUGUAGCUUAAUUCACCUCUCCAAUGAAUAAAGCGGGUAGCGUGCUACCUUUUU